rnacentral:tRNA from 1 species
CUCCUCGUGGUGUAAAGGAUAACACACAAGAUUCCGGUUCUUGCGAUGGGGGUUCGAUUCCCUCCGAGGAGGCUA